UUGCUUUCCUGUCAUCAGCGUC
rnacentral:siRNA from 1 species